rnacentral:rRNA from 1 species
UGGGGAAUAUUGGACAAUGGGCGAAAGCCUGAUCCAGCCAUGCCGCGUGUGUGAAGAAGGUCUUCGGAUUGUAAAGCACUGUAAGUUGGGAGGAAGGGCAGUAAGCGAAUACCUUGCUGUUUUGACGUUACCGACAGAAUAAGCACCGGCUAACUCUGUGGCAGCAGCCGCGGUAAGACAGAGGGUGCAAGCGUUAAGCGGAAAUACUGGGCGUAACGCGCGCGUAGGUGGUUCGUAAAGUUGAAUGUGAAAGCCCCGGUCUCAACCUGGGCACUGCAUCCGAAACUGCAUAGCUAGAGUAGGUCAGAGGGUGGUGGAAUUUCCUGUUUAUCGUUGAAAUGCGUAGAUAUAGGAAGGAACACCAGUCGCGAAGGCGACCACCUGGGCUCAUCAUGACACUGAGGUGCGAAAGCGGGGGGAGCAAACAGG